rnacentral:tRNA from 1 species
GGAUUGUAGCUCAGUGGUAGAGUGCUUGCCUAGCAUGUGUGAGGCACUGGGUUCGACCCUUAGCACCA